rnacentral:rRNA from 1 species
AGGACGAACGCUGGCGGCGCGCUUAACACAUGCAAGUCGAGCGAGAACUAGUCCUUCGGGACUAGGGACAGCGGCGAACGGGUGAGUAACACGUGAGUAAUCCACCCUCGGUACCGGAAUAGCCCGGGGAAACUCGGAUUAAUGCCGGAUGGCCCAUUUGCUCUUCGGAGCUGAAUGGAAAAGAUAGCUUCGGCCUUCGACCGGGGGACAGCUCGCGGCGGAUUAGCUUGUUGGCGGGGUAACGCCCACCAAGGCGACGAUCCGUAGCUGGUCUGAGAGGACGAUCAGCCACACUGGGACUGAGACACGGCCCAGACUCCUACGGGAGGCAGCAGUGGGGAAUCUUGCGCAAUGGGCGAAAGCCUGACGCAGCGACGCCGCGUGAGGGAAGAAGGCCUUCGGGUUGUAAACCUCUUUCAGGAGGGACGAAGCCACUCGGGUUAAUAGCCCAGAGGGUGACGGUACCUCCAGAAGAAGCCCGGCUAACUACGUGCCAGCAGCCGCGGU